AUUGAACGCUGGCGGCAGGCCUAACACAUGCAAGUCGAGCGAGAGGAGGACGGGUGAGUAAUGUCUGGGAAAAUGGCUGAUGGGGGGGGAGAAAACCUGGAAAAGGUAGAUAAUAUCGCAUAUACGCAGAUGUGCGCAGAUGGGAUUAGCUAGUAGGUGGGGUAAAGGCUCACCCAGGCGACGAUCCCUAGCUGGUCUGUGAGGAUUACAAGCCACACUGGAACGGAGACACGGCCCAGACUCCUACGGGAGGCAGCAGUGGGGAAUAUUGCACAAUGGGCGCAAGCCUGAUGCAGCCAUGCCGCGUGUGUGAAGAAGGCCUUCGGGUUGUAAAGCUCUUUCAGCAGGGAGGCGUUACCCGCAGAAGAAGCACCGGCUAACUCCGUGCCAGCAGCCGCGGUAAUAC
rnacentral:rRNA from 1 species